UACGUAGGGUGCAAGCGUUGUCCGGAAUCACUGGGCGUAAAGCGUGCGUAGGUGGGAAUUUAAGUGUGAUGUUAAAUCGUGUGGCUCAACCAUAUCGAUGCAUCGCAUACUGGGUUCCUAGAGGACGGCAGAGGCAAGUGGAAUUAGCAGUGUAGCAGUGAAAUGCGCAGAUAUCAGGAGGAACACCAAUGGCGAAGGCAGCACUCUGGGACGUGACUGACGCUGAGACGCGAAAGCGUGGGGAGCAAACAGG
rnacentral:rRNA from 1 species